rnacentral:rRNA from 1 species
GUGAGGAAUAUUGGUCAAUGGGCGUAAGCCUGAACCAGCCAAGUAGCGUGAAGGAUGACGGCCCUAUGGGUUGUAAACUUCUUUUAUACGGGGGUAAAGUGAGCUAUGUAUAGCUUAUUGCAAGUACCGUAAGAAAAAGGAUCGGCUAAUUCCGUGCCAGCAGCCGCGGUAAUACGGAAGAUCCAAGCGUUAUCCGGAUUUAUUGGGUUUAAAGGGAGCGUAGGCGGACUGUUAAGUCAGCGGUAAAAUCGUGCGGCUCAACCGUACCGAGCCGUUGAUACUGUCAGUCUUGAGUGCACAAGAGGCAGGUGGAAUUCGUGGUGUAGCGGUGAAAUGCUUAGAUAUCACGAAGAACUCCGAUUGCGAAGGCAGCCUGCUGGGGUGCAACUGACGCUGAGGCUCGAAAGUGUGGGAAUCAAACAGGAUUAGAUACCCUGGUAGUCC